AAAAAAAAAAAAAAAUACAAAUAAGUAGGUAAGAAAUGACAAUAUACAAAUUGACAAUUGUAUGGCAGGUAUAUUACAAUGAGCAGUUGUGUAUGUACAGGUAUAUUAUGUGCAAAAAUAUUUAAGGUACACUAAGUAUGUGUGUUAGAUAAAUAAGUGUAUGUGUAUGUAAAUAUAAAUAGUGUAGUGUGUUCCACAGUUAUUAUCAAGUGUUCAUUAGAUGGAUUGCCUGAGGGAAGAAACUGUUCCUGUGUCUGGUCAUUCUGGUGCUCAGUGCUCUGUAGCGUCAACCAGAUGGCAACAGUUCAAACAGGGAGUGUGCUGGAUGUGAGGGGUCCAGAGUGAUUUUGCCAGCCUUUUUGCUCAUUCUGGAUAAGUACAGUUCUUGAAUAGACGGGAGGGUUGUACCGAUGAUUCUCUCAGCAGUCCGGACUACCCUCUGUAGUCUUCUGAGGUCAGAUUUAGAAGCUGAGCUGAACCAGACAGUUACAGAAGUGCAGAGGAUGGAUUCAAUGAUGGUGGAGUAGAUCUGUUUCAGCAGUUCUUGUGGUAGGUUGAAUUUCCUCAGCUGGCGACAGUCCAAACCAAUGGAGGACGAAGGAAUGUGGCAACAUUUCUGCAAAAAAAUGUUGCUGAUUGCACAUUUUGAAAUAUAUUAACGUGAAUCUGGUGAUUUUUUUUUUUUUUUUUUUUUACAUUUGUUGCUGUAUUGCUGCAGUUUGGAAAUAAAAUGAUGUGUGAGUGGUGCUAAAAGAAAAAAAAUAACGCACCACCUGCACUAAACCCUACCCUAAACCCAAAAGACAAUGGUAACAAAAGCAAACGUGAAAUAAAAAACACCAUUUUCUGUUUCACAGGACUCAUACCUGAGCACUUUGCAUCGCAAGAGCAAUGCUGUACCAGGUUUUGCUGGACAUUUCAUCAGACAGCCAUUCACUUUCCCUGUGGAAAAAUCAUGUACUACCCUCAGCAUUCGGUACGCCCUGCCACUCACUUGAAGAUACUCUUCAAUAUUGGAUAUACAUUUGCAAAUGCACACAUUUUCUACAGUGACAUGUGUCAUGCUUCCUUGUUGUCAUGGCAUCAAGCCAUGCAGUCCUAACUGACUGCAACUUACAGCUGCAAAUUCGCUGUGCUUUUGAGCCAAAAUUUUACCAAAUUAGUCUGUUCCCGACAACAUCAGUUGGUUGAAUACUCUAUUCAAAAGAAAUUCAAUUGUUUAGCUAUCAUACAAUUCAAAACAUAAUCUGUUAAUACCAUAAUAGUCUGAUUGGUUGUGUUGAAUUAAUUACUCAUCACAUUAAAAAUGCUUUCAGUAGUUUGGUGCUAAUUUAAAAAGUUUUACACAAUAUGAAAAAAGUGUUUUUGUGAAGAGUCUGAGUCACAUCUCAGAUAAAGACUGUUCUCAUAAUAGUUCUAUAAAACGUGCUUUGUUUAGUUUCACUAAGCGUCAGAGAGAAUCCUGACAAUCAUUGGCUACUGCCUCUGUAGAUACACUAGUAGUGCUGUGCUGUAUUCUGAUGCCAAGAGUGAAAAUCAAACAAUGAAACACACUUUACCUAAAUUAUCAUGCUUUACCAGCAGAGACAAUGGCAGAAUACGUACCUGUACAGCUGAAGAGGCAAAAAAACCAACAAAGACAAGUAACAAAUGUUAACAUUGGUACACCUGGAUGGACUUUUUGGAAUCAGCCUUUUCCUUUUCUUUGUCACAGGAGAGCUGCUAAAAAGCUGAAA
ensembl:lncRNA